rnacentral:rRNA from 1 species
GUGGGGAAUAUUGGGCAAUGGGGGAAACCCUGACCCAGCAACGCCGCGUGAGGGAAGAAGGUUUUCGGAUUGUAAACCUCUGUCCUUGGUGACGAAGGAAGUGACGGUAGCCAAGGAGGAAGCCCCGGCUAACUACGUGCCAGCAGCCGCGGUAAUACGUAGGGGGCAAGCGUUGUCCGGAAUGACUGGGCGUAAAGGGCGUGUAGGCGGCCGAUUAAGUCUGGAGUGAAAGUCCUGCUUUCAAGGUGGGAAUUGCUUUGGAGACUGGUUGGCUUGAGUGCGGAAGAGGUAAGUGGAAUUCCCAGUGUAGCGGUGAAAUGCGUAGAGAUUGGGAGGAACACCAGUGGCGAAGGCGACUUACUGGGCCGUAACUGACGCUGAGGCGCGAAAGCGUGGGGAGCGAACAGGAUUAGAUACCCGAGUAGUCC